UGGCCCAAAAAAACUGAAAUGGAGCCUCGCCCAUCUGAUAUUCGCGAGAAGAUUACCGCGAGCGAAACCCUAACCCAAGAUAUCACAACCUCCACAACAAGCCCGUGGCAAGCAGCAGACAAGCAAAGAAAGUGGAGCGCCGCAACUAUUCUAUCACCUCUAGAUGUCAUAUUCUUUCACCAGGAUCGUUCGAUUUCUUGCCACGUAAUCAGUCAGCGUGAAUUCCCGUUUCAACGCCUGAGAUUACCGGUGCAGUGCUUUCUGGCUUCUGGUACAACGAACGAACAAGCUCCUCUUUCUUCCUUGUUUUUUCCAAUUAUUUAUUUUCACACAAAAAAAAUCUUGUUCACGGAAAUGAGUUCUGAUCCAGAUGUCCAUAAUCUGAAUAUGAAGUCUGCUGAGGAGGGUACUUCAAUGCAGGUUGAUUCUGAUGAUGCGUUGGUGUCAAAGGAAAAAGGUAAAGAAAAAGAGGAGAUUACUGAAUCGAUGGAGAAGAUGCAUAUUGAAUCGUCAACAAACUUCAAGAGAAAACCAGUCAUUAUUGUUGUCAUUGGAAUGGCAGGGAGUGGAAAAACAACUUUUCUUCAUCGGCUGUAUUGCCAUGUGCAAGCUUCAAAAUUGCGGGGAUACGUAGUUAACCUUGACCCUGCUGUGAUGACUCUCCCAUUUGGUGCAAACAUCGAUAUAAGAGACACUGUCCGGUACAAGGAAGUAAUGAAGCAAUUUAACCUCGGACCAAAUGGUGGAAUUUUGACAUCUCUGAACUUGUUUGCUACAAAAUUUGACGAGGUUAUUUCUGUUAUCGAGAGGCGAGCAGAUCAGCUUGAUUAUGUUCUCGUGGAUACACCUGGCCAGAUUGAAAUAUUUACCUGGUCUGCUUCUGGAGCAAUUAUUACUGAAGCUUUUGCUUCAACUUUUCCCACUGUAGUCACUUAUGUAGUUGAUACUCCUCGUUCUGCAAACCCCGUUACUUUCAUGAGCAAUAUGCUUUACGCCUGUAGCAUACUCUACAAGACGCGGUUGCCAAUUGUUUUGGCAUUUAACAAAACUGAUAUUACUCAGCACCAGUUUGCUUUGGAGUGGAUGGAAGAUUUUGAAGCAUUUCAAGCUGCUAUAAGCUCAGAUCAUUCCUAUAUGUCAACUUUAAGUCAAAGUCUUUGUCUUGGACUGGACGAGUUCUAUAAGAAUUUGCGAUCAGUAGGAGUCUCUGCGGUGUCUGGUGCUGGAGUUGUGGACUUCUUUAAGGCUAUUGAAGCAAGUGCUGAGGAGUACAUGGAAAUCUACAAGGCUGAUCUUGAUAAGAGACGGGUGGAGAAGCAACGUCUGGAGGAUGAACGCAGGAAGGAGAACAUGGAGAACUUGAGGAAGGAUAUGGAAAAAUCCGGUGGAGAAACUGUGGUCUUGAACACUGGUUUGAAGGACAAAGAAGCCAGGAAUAGGGACAUGAUGGAUGAGGAAAUUGAAGAGCAAGAGGAUGAUGAAGAUGAUUAUGAGAGGUCCAGUGAAGAUGAAGAUGAGGAUUUAAUAGAUGGUGAUGAUGAAGAGGUCACCAGAUUCCACUUGUAGCCUUUGUGUUUGCUGGAAUUUGUUAAAAACAAACCUUGUAUAGGUUUUUUUUUGAAUAGCCAAGUGAAAUACUAUUCUAGAGAAAGUUGAUACUUCCUUCAUGGUUGUAGCCCUGCACUAAUUUGUGGGGGUCUAAAGACCUGCUUUGCUCUAUGCAACUUUUGAAAUACAUUUCAGCAUCUUUAUUUAUGUAUUAUAUGGAAGAAGGAUUUUUAGGUGAUUGAGCGGGAGAUAUCCAUGUCCAGGUCUUUUCGGCAUUUGGUUUGGCUUUUGUAUGAAAAAUGUGGAGUUUGGGCUGAAGUGACAGGUGAUCCAGCAUUGAGUGAAGUUGGGACAGCUGAGCUAAUCAUACACGGUCAGCAAUUGACAUGAUUAACAUUGAUUGAAGUGGGUGGGUACAGCUGAGCUGAUACAGUCAGCAUUUGGACAUGAGUUAACGUUUGAUCUUUGUUGGGUGGGACAUGAAUAAAGAGAAGAUACUUUGAUUCGAAGGUACAAAGGUUAUUAUGAAUAUGCCAAAUCCAAAGGAGUGAAUGUUGGGGAGCCAGUUGGACUUGAUGUACUUAUUGAUGGAACAGUACUAACAGGUUCCGGUCUCUCAAGCUCUUCAGCUUUUGUUUGUUCUUCCACAAUUGCUAUAAUGGCUGCAUUUGAUGGAAACUUCCCAAAGAAAGACCUUGCCCAAAUUUCAUGUGAGUGCAAACGCCACAUUGGAACACAGUCUGGUGGAAUGGACAAGGUAAUACUUUAUGCUCAGAGGAAUUAUAACCGCAUGUGUUGUUUUCAGCUAGUGUUUCUUUCCCUCACGGGCAAGGACAGUGUUUUAUUGACUUUAAAAUGUUUUCUGAUGUUACUAUGUCUAGUACAUUUAUCUUUGAUGUUUAGAAAGAAAACAGGUAAUGGUGUUGAUAC